AUGCAGCUAUAAAAACUCUGGUGCUGGCAAUUGCAAAGGACUGAUUUGAUUACCCAGGUAGGCUUUAAUUUCUCUGGUUUUGUUUUCCUAUACACUGAGAUAUCAAAAAAAACAAAAACAACCAACUUUUCUGGCAUUCUGGCAUAGGUUAUGCCUUGCUGUUAUUUAAAAAAAUAAUCUGAAAAAGUCAUAAACUUGUCCAAAUGCUUAACUUUCUCCUUUUUUUUUUUUUUUUCCCUUUCAUGUAUGGCUUAACAUAAUUGUAAGAAGCAUGGAAUAAGAAGUAGAGAAGUAGAAGGUUCUUUUUAAUUUACAGGAAAUUGAACUACAGGUUAGGAUUUUCCUUUAAUUUUUCUUUCCUUUUUCCUUUUAGGAAAGGUAAUUGUUGCAGUCUAAAUGUUAUUAUGGGCAAAAGAGAACACAGUUUUACACAAAAGGAUCCUUCUCUUCUGUGGACCUAUCUGGCCAAGAUUGACACAAUGAGUGAAAGAACAUGGAAGAAGGCAGAGGAAGCUCAAAUUUUUGUGGACUUUUGGAGUUAUAUUUUUUUGUUAUCCAUUUGGGAAAAGUGGGGAAAUGCUCCUUCCUUAUCCUCCCUAAGAGUACAUACAGUAAGGAAUGGAGAACUAUCUGAAGAUAAGGAGAGAAGAUGAUUUACUGGAUGUUGCUUGGAAUAUGUUCCAACUAGGCUGGUGGAGAGCUGAAGCCUUUUUUGAUAUUUUAGGUGAACAGGGAGACUAUCUCAGAAAAUUUACAAAAAUCUAAAUUGGGACUAUCAUGUUUUGGAAAACUUGAAAAUAUAACUCUUUGCACUGCAAUAAAAUAUCAAUAUUUUUUUACA
rnacentral:lncRNA from 1 species